GUCUAUGGCGGCUUUGCAGUCGUGGUGUGGUAGAAAUGUCUGGUCAUUAGUCAUUAGCACCCGUAGCAGAUAUUAGAACCAGAUUACUCACGACACUAAUACCGUCGCUACGGGCACUACCGGAAUUAAUUUUGCUUUGUAAGUGAGCAUGGCGGUGGGCACAGCUGGAAAUGCGGCUGUUUCGUUAACUUCAGUGGAGAUUACAGGCCUGUGACUCACCAGCACGAGACCUCAAGUGACUCGUCUGCCAUAAGAGCAAGGACCUGUUGCUGUGCAGUUGUAGCAAGCAAGUUACAGCAUUUCUCUGACAUCCGUUCUGCUGCCCUAUCAUCCAUGCUUGGCUCUUUCAGAUAGUCUUUUCUCUUGAGGUUAUGCCACAAAAAUCUGGUCAUGUCAAGACUGAAGUGAAGAUCUGUGCAUGUCAAGACUGAAGUGAAAAUCUGGGGAUGUCAAGACUGAAGGGAAAAUCUGGGGAUGUCAGGACUGAAGUGAAAAUCUGGGCAUGUCAAGACUGAAGUGAGAAUUUGGGCAUGUCAAGACUGAAGUGAAAAUCUGGGGAUGUCAAGACUGAAGUGAAAAUCUGUGCAUGUAAAGACCGAAGUGAAAAUCUGGGGAUGUCAAGACUGAAGUGAAAGUUUGGGCAUGUCAAGACUGAAGUGAAAAUCUGGUCAUGACAAGACAAGUGAAAAUCUGGUCAUGUCAAGACAAGUGAAAAUCUAUGCAGGUCAAGACUGAAGUGAAAAUCUCUACAUGUAAAGGCUGAAACAUAACAGGAAGAUACUAAUACAGUAUUAUAGGCAGAAAUGUUAGUUUGGUGUGUGUGACCAUGUUACUGCUACUUAUUUAUCCAAAAAACUGCCUCUCUUGCUUUAUUAUGUUUGCAUGUAGGAGGAUAACACACAUGCAUGAUAUCAUCUGACUUUGUAUCUACUCUGAAGAUGGACGUGAUACAUACCUCCAAAACGCAGGAUAUAUAUACUGCGCUACAUCCCAGAAGACAGCAUUCUUCAUUGUCACUGCCAUGAAAAUCUCAAAUUGGUUUAAGUAUACUUUUGCAACAGUGGAAAGCUAUUGAAGUGAUGAAAGUGUGGGAAGUUGAUAGCAGGAUAUUCAUAUUUAUUUAUUUGUUUUAUUUAUUUAUUUUGUCUCUAUAGAUCAUUGUUACAUGAUAUAGGACAAGUCAGUCACGGUACAUUGGCUGAGUUCGUAUAGUGUGCAGUGGAAUCCAUAUUAGGUCCCCUCGGCAUGUCGGCUUCCAUAUGUCAUUUGUACCUGUACCGGUGAUCAUGCUUAUGGAGAAUUUGAUGGAAUGAGGAUUGGCAGGGGAAACCUGCCCCAGGGAAGCUUGUGUGCGCUUGCUGCUUGCUUGAAAUGGUAGAGAAUUGCACUUGACAGUAGUUCUAAUUGUGUCAUCUCUGCCUUCCUACAUUUGAAGCAUUAUGUACUGGUAAGAAGCAUGCUGAGCUAAAUUAAUGUUCAGUUGGCAGAGAUGAUAACUGGUUGUGAUGUACGAGGGUAAGCCAAUAAGUACGUUACAAAUGAAUAUAUAACUACAAUUAUAAAACACAAGAACUUAAACAAAUAAGAGUACUAAUUUGAAAAAUGAUUUUAUUUCUCAACAUGAUCUCGCUGUACAUUAAGGCACUUGUCCCAUCGUUUCACAAGCCCCUGAAAACCAGCAGCAAAAAUUUCUUUGGGCUGCCAUCAGACAGGCUGUGACUUAAGCUGAAAGAUGAUGUUUAAGAGGGCCGAACAAAUGGAAGUCACUUGGAGCAAAGUCGGGGCUAUACAGAGGAUGCGCGAGGACUUCCCACUUGAAAUUUUGCAGCGUCACAUACUGCCAACAAGACAAAUGAGACCCAUCAUACUUACAAUAUUUGUGUAAGAAACGUAAGUUGCGGCCUGAUUGCAGAGGUAAUUGUAAGUGUAAAUUGGAUAGGAACUGCUGCAGCUUUGGGGGUUGGUGGGGAGAUUUUAAGGCAUUUUUCUAAUUGGUACAGUUAGAAAUUUCUUGGCAGCUAAUUCCUCAAUAUUCUGACAAGCCAAAGUGGACAGUUCAGGCAUUGUACUGAAGUAGAAUUCUGUAAUGUAAGUGUAUGGAAGUAUGACUGCCAUCACUUGGCUAAGGUAAAGACAGACGGGACCUGGCAGAAAUAAAGUAGAGAAACAAAUGACGAAGAAUGAACAGGAAGGAGUGAGUAUUGGUCCAGACCUGGUCAUGAGCUGUUAUUUGUAGCUACAAGUAGUACUAUAUUGUAGCACCCUGCUCCACUUCAUUUAGUAGCAGAUGGUUUCACAGUCUCACAUGCAGGACAUCCUUCUAUAUAACUUACUAAAGUUAUUCACUACAUGUUUCGAACUAUAGGGUCAUCAUUAGGUGUUUUAAAUUUGUAAAUUAUAAAUGAAGAAACUACUGUGCUUCCAUAUUGUGGUUGCUGGUACUUACUGUGUGGUCCCUUCUCUACACAUGUAUAUACAAAGUGGCGGGUUGUUCUGCCUGUUGUGUUAUGCUGUGUAACACAGCAGGCAGAGCAACCCGCCACUUCGUAUAUAUGAGUACAUGCUCAUAGAAGGGACCACACAGUAAUGACCAACAACCACAAUAUGGAAGCACAGCAGUUUCUUCAUUUAUAAUUUUAAAACACCUGAUGAUGACUUUAUAGUUCGAAACAUGUAAUCAGUAACUUUCAGAAAGUUUUAUAGAAGGACGUGCUUCACGUGAGACUGUGGAACAAUUUGAUGCUAUUUCUAAAUGGUCCUCUAUAGGGAAGUAAAUUGUAGCUAUCCUUUAAAUGUCCAUGGUUCCAUAUAGCCGGAAGAUGAUGUUUAAGAGGGCCGAACAAAUGGAAGUCAUGACAGGUUAGGUUUUCACAAAGUCUGUGCAGGAUGGGUGCCACACAUACUGACCCCACAAUACAAAAUGCAAAGAAUGGGUCUGGCAUUACAGCCUCUCAAUCGCGGCCAUGAUGAAGGACACAAUAUGCUAACCUCAAUUGUCACAGGCUAUGAGUCUUGCUCCAAGUGACUUCCAUUUGUUCGGCCCUCUUAAACAUCAUCUUUAGGCUGAACAGUUUCCUGACAGUGAAGCUGUAGAAAGGGAAGUCACCGCCUGGUUCGAACAGCAGCCCAAAGAAUUUUACGCUGCUGGUUUUAAGGGACUAGUGAAAUGAUCGGACAAGUGUCUCAGUGUACAUGGAGAUUAUGUUGGAAAUAAAAGCAUUUCUAAAAUCAGUACUCUUUAUUUGUUUAAGUUCUAUAUCCAUUUGUAACUUACUUAUUGACUUACCUAUGUAAUUGUGACUAGUUGAGGUGUCACAUACGUGUGAAGCACUAUAUAUAUAGCAAGAUUUACAUCCAUCAGUGCAUCAUAUACAAGAUAUUAUUUUGAUAUUUGGUAGUCCCUGUUGAUCUCAUUUCCAUCUUCAGAUGAUUAAGUUUAUCAGUGCUAUAAAUUCAAUAAUCAAUAUGUAACAGGAAUUGUUCAUUUAUGGAAUGUAUUCAUGAGUUUAUAAUGCAGAAUGCUGGUUGGAUCUUUUUCUUUCUUUUUUUUUAUUCAUAUUUAGCAUUUUUUUUGUGACAGAACUGUGUCUCUAUUUCCGUUGUAUGUAGCAGUUCUUGCAGGCAACACACAUUUUGAUGGAGUGUGAUAUGGGAGUUCCCUAAUGAAACCUGUAUAAAGCAUAUGAGAAGCAUAGUAUUAGAAGUUACAAGCAUUUGGUAAAGUUUUUGUUGAUGUGUAAAAUGGAUUCUGUAAGCUUGCACCUUACCUCUCUUUUGCUAGUUUUUAUGAAAUAAAGUACAGCCAAUGAUGUCUCUUUCCUGAAACUCGUCCUGUAAACUAUGGCUCUCAUAUCUGCAUACAGUAUCAGCAUGUGGCAGUUUGAACUAAUUGACAGUGGGCUUUUCUAAACACCACAUAACUCAAAAGACUGUCAUCUUCUUAGAUGUGAGGCAGUGUACACUGGUAGAAUGUUAUCACCACUUCGGAGGAACCUGUGAAGUGAUAAGACCCUGAAGGUGGGGGCUUUAUAUUCAUCAGAAAUGUUGGUAACAUUCUACCACGCUUCAUGGUGUCACAUCCCAGAAGACUUAAAUCAUCAUGGUUACUGCCAAAGACUUGUUUGCUUAGAGAGAGUACAUUUUAAUUGCACGUACAGAUAAUACACAGUCAUGAGUAGGUAACAGCUGGUUUUGAUUUGACAUGGGAGUUAAGUGUAAGAUAGCAACCCUUGAUUGAGAACUGAGAGUUGCAUGUUCCACGUUUGUUGAUACUUCUGAAUUGCAUGGUGACAGUGAGGAGUCGGGGGCCGGUACUUGGAAUGAAGAGUACAGCAUUCUGAGUUGUAGCAGCGCCUAGUUCGGAGACAGACUGAGCUUUUGGUGGUGACAUAUUCUUCCUAAACAUUGGGCCAUCUCCAAACUACACAUUGUUACAACUCAGAAACCCAUACUCCUUAUAGACAUUGCCAUGAAAACAUCAAAUUAAACAUGGUACUUGGAAUGUUUGUGUAAGAUAUGUAAGUCGCUGUCUGAUUGCAGAGGUAAUUGUAAGUGUAAAUUAGAUAGGAACUGCUGCAGCUUUGGGGGUUUGUGGGGAGAUGUUGAGGCAUUUUUCUAAUUGGUACAAUUAGAAAUUUCUUGGCAGCUAAUUCCUCAGUACUCUGAGAAGCCAUAGUGGACAGUUCAGGCAUUGUACUGAAGUAGAAUUCUGUGCUGUAAGUGUAUGGAAGUAUGACUGCCAUAACUUGGCUAAGGUAAAGACAGACGGGUUGCAGCAUAGUGAAAGCAAUGUGAAUCACUUUGUUGAAUUGUAACAUAAUCCAUGAGGUGGUACUUGAAAAUUCUGAUAGGCGUUAGAAUGUUUGACAAUUUAGGACUUGCACUGUUGCAAGAUAUUUUACAUUCAUUUUUACCAAAUAUUAUAUAGACUGAUGCAAAUAUAAACAUUCUGAUAUAUAUGAGGAUAUUUGGAUCCUUCUUGGUGGGAUAUUUAUAAUUUCAAUAAAUACUCUUCAGAGCUGA